CCGCACAAGCGGUGGAGCAUGUGGUUCAAUUCGACGCAACGCGAAGAACCUUACCCAGGCUUGAACUGCAGGUGACAUCCUACGAAAGUAGGCUUCCGCAAGGACACCUGUAGAGGUGCUGCAUGGCUGUCGUCAGCUCGUGUCGUGAGAUGUUGGGUUAAGUCCCGCAACGAGCGCAACCCUUGUCUUCUGUUGCCAUCGGGUUAUGCCGGGCACUCUGAAGAGACUGCCGGUGACAAACCGGAGGAAGGUGGGGAUGACGUCAAGUCAGCAUGGCCUUUAUGUCUGGGGCAACACACGUGCUACAAUGGCCGGUACAAACCGUCGCGAUCUCGCGAGAGGGAGCUAAUCGGAGAAAGCCGGUCUCAGUUCGGAUUGUAGGCUGCAACUCGCCUGCAUGAAGUUGGAAUCGCUAGUAAUCGCGGAUCAGCACGCCGCGGUGAAUACGUUCCCGGGCCUUGUACACACCGCCCGUCACAUCACGAAAGCCGGCUGUACUAGAAGUCGCUGUGCUAACCCGCAAGGGGGGCAAGCGCCUAAGGUAUGGUCGGUGAUUGGGGUG
rnacentral:rRNA from 1 species